UACGUAGGGGGCAAGCGUUGUCCGGAAUCAUUGGGCGUAAAGAGCGUGUAGGCGGCUUGGUAAGUCCGCUGUGAAAGUCCAGGGCUCAACCCUGGAAAGCCGGUGGAAACUGUCAAGCUUGAGUCCGGAAGAGGCGAGUGGAAUUCCUGGUGUAGCGGUGAAAUGCGCAGAUAUCAGGAGGAACACCAAUGGCGAAGGCAGCUCGCUGGGACGGUACUGACGAUGAGACGCGAAAGCGUGGGGAGCAAACAGG
rnacentral:rRNA from 1 species